CCUACGGGAGGCAGCAGUGAGGAAUAUUGGUCAAUGGACGAGAGUCUGAACCAGCCAAGUAGCGUGAAGGAUGACUGCCCUAUGGGUUGUAAACUUCUUUUAUAUGGGAAUAAAAUGUUCCACGUGUGGGAUUUUGUAUGUACCAUAUGAAUAAGGAUCGGCUAACUCCGUGCCAGCAGCCGCGGUAAUACGGAGGAUCCGAGCGUUAUCCGGAUUUAUUGGGUUUAAAGGGAGCGUAGGUGGAUUGUUAAGUCAGUUGUGAAAGUUUGCGGCUCAACCGUAAAAUUGCAGUUGAAACUGGCAGUCUUGAGUACAGUAGAGGUGGGCGGAAUUCGUGGUGUAGCGGUGAAAUGCUUAGAUAUCACGAAGAACUCCGAUUGCGAAGGCAGCUCACUGGACUGCAACUGACACUGAGGCUCGAAAGUGUGGGUAUCAAAC
rnacentral:rRNA from 1 species